rnacentral:rRNA from 1 species
UGUGUAGGCGGACCAGAAAGUGUCUUGUGAAAUCCCUCGUCUCAACCGAGGAACUGCUCGGCAAACUACUGGUCUUGAGGUAGGCAUGGGUGCUUGGAACUCUUGGUGGAGCGGUGAAAUGCGUAGAUAUCAAGAGGAACGCCUGUGGUGAAAACGGAGCACUUGACCUAUUCUGACGCUGAGACACGAAAGCGUGGGGAGCGAACGGGAUUAGAUACCCCGGUAGUCCACGCUGUAAACGAUGUCUACUGGGUCUUGGUAACUCUGACGUUUUCAAGACCGAAGCAAAAGUGUUAAGUAGACCGCCUGGGGAGUACGGUCGCAAGGCUAAA